rnacentral:rRNA from 1 species
UACAGAGGGUCCAAGCGUUGAUCGGAAUCACUGGGCUUAAAGGGUGCGUAGGCGGCGCCGCAAGUGCGUUGUGAAAUCCCACGGCUUAACCGUGGAACUGCUUCGCAGACUGCGGUGCUUGAGCAUGACAGGGGCAACCGGAACUCUAGGUGGAGCGGUGGAAUGCGUAGAUAUCUAGAGGAACGCCGAACGGGAAGCCAGGUUGCUGGGUCAUUGCUGACGCUCAGGCACGAAAGCAUGGGUAGCGAACGGG